rnacentral:rRNA from 1 species
GACGAACGCUGGCGGCGUGCUUAACACAUGCAAGUCGAACGGAAAGGCCUCUUUCGGGGGGUACUCGAGUGGCGAACGGGUGAGUAACACGUGAGUAACCUGCCCUUGACUUUGGGAUAACUUCAGGAAACUGGGGCUAAUACCGGAUAGGAGCUCCUGCUGCAUGGUGGGGGUUGGAAAGUUUCGGCGGUUGGGGAUGGACUCGCGGCUUAUCAGCUUGUUGGUGGGGUAGUGGCUUACCAAGGCUUUGACGGGUAGCCGGCCUGAGAGGGUGACCGGCCACAGUGGGACUGAGAUACGGCCCAGACUCCUACGGGAGGCAGCAGUGGGGAAUAUUGCACAAUGGGUGGAAGCCGGAUGCAGCAACGCCGGGUGCGGGAUGACGGCCUUCGGGUUGUAAACCGCUUUCGCUCAUGACGAAGCUUUGUGUGACGGUAGUGGGUAAAGAAGCACCGGCUAACUACGUG